rnacentral:lncRNA from 1 species
UUCGCCUAAGGACUUAUUUUUUGUAAACUCCAUAGAAGUUCCUCCUGGAUCAAAUAUUAAUCUGCAAUAAGCAUCAAACAUAUCUCUAAUUAGUUUUAUUUGACCCAAUAAGAUAUAUAAAGGAAUAUGUCUAGAAGAAGGUUUCCUAAUUUUGAAAUUUUCAAGUUUAUGACUAAAAAGAAACCUUACUUCAUUUGAAAAUUUAUUUUUGUCUUGAGUUAGUGAUAACUUGGAAGAUAUCUCUAACUCAAGUCUUGGAUUGCCAUGUGUUAAAGAGUGCAACUUUUGAAAAGGUUUGAUGGCAAAUUCUUGGAAAGAAAAGGUAGAAUUAAAGCAUUCAAUAACAAUUGGAAAGUGAAAAGAUAGAAAGCCUCCCCUUAAAAUUUUGUGUUCUAUUGUGAGAAUAGGGGAUGUUGCCAGUUCUUUCUUCUUUUCUUCCAUGUAUUUCUUUUCAAGUUCUUCCUUCUCUUCCUCUUCCUUUCUUUCUUUCUCUCUUAUUUUCUCUUCUUCUCUUCUUUCUUGUACUCUUCUCUCUCUUUCUUCCUCUUCUUUUUUCUCUCUUUCUUCUUCUUCUCUUCNGAUUGCCAUGUGUUAAAGAGUGCAACUUUUGAAAAGGUUUGAUGGCAAAUUCUUGGAAAGAAAAGGUAGAAUUAAAGCAUUCAAUAACAAUUGGAAAGUGAAAAGAUAGAAAGCCUCCCCUUAAAAUUUUGUGUUCUAUUGUGAGAAUAGGGGAUGUUGCCAGUUCUUUCUUCUUUU